UGAAAAUUCGCGUUACUCGUAAGCAUGUAUCGGUUUAAGAAAGACGCAUGAAACUUUGCUGGUAAAGUUACCAACGUGCGAGCGUAAAUGCUUUACCUUUUUUACAUGGCUUUCAGUAGCAGUCAAUGACUGAACGGAUAAUGUUAACUAAGAAGAUUAACAUGAGUUUUUGAGGCUAAAGGCGGUCAUAUUCACUCACCGAACAAUAGAUCGGACCGAACAAUAGAUCGGACAACCGAGUUGGUAGUCAAACAGACACAGUUGAAACAAAUAAAGGUUGAGAUUGCUUAACUGAUGGUCGCAUUGUUACCUUGUUCGAGUUUGUGUG